CAAUAGCGUAUAUUAAAGUUGUUGCAGUUAAAAAGCUCGUAGUUGGAUUUGUGGCGUACGGUGUGUUCCGGGCACUUGUUGUCUGAGUAACCUGCUGUUGCCAUCCUUGGGUGGAACCUGUGUGGCAUUAGGUUGUCGUGCAGGGGAUGACCAUCAUUUACUGUGAAAAAAUUAGAGUGUUCAAAGCAGGCUUAUGCCGUUGAAUAUAUUAGCAUGGAAUAAUGAGAUAGGACUUUUUUGCUAUUUUGUUGGUUUGCGCAAAGAGGUAAUGAUUAAUAGGGACAGUUGGGGGUAUUCGUAUUCCAUUGUCAGAGGUGAAAUUCUUGGAUUUUUGGAAGACGAACUACUGCGAAAGCAUUUACCAAGGAUGUUUUCAUUAA
rnacentral:rRNA from 1 species